UCGACGGCAGCACAGAGGAGCUUGCUCCUUGGGUGGCGAGUGGCGGACGGGUGAGUAAUGCAUCGGGAUCUACCCUGACGUGGGGGAUAACCUCGGGAAACCGGGACUAAUACCGCAUACGUCCUACGGGAGAAAGCGGGGGACCUUCGGGCCUCGCGCGGCAGGACGAACCGAUGUGCGAUUAGCUAGUUGGCGGGGUAAUGGCCCACCAAGGCGACGAUCGCUAGCUGGUCUGAGAGGAUGAUCAGCCACACUGGGACUGAGACACGGCCCAGACUCCUACGGGAGGCAGCAGUGGGGAAUAUUGGACAAUGGGCGCAAGCCUGAUCCAGCAAUGCCGCGUGUGUGAAGAAGGCCUUCGAGUUGUAAAGCACUUUUAUCAGGAGCGAAAUACCACGGGUUAAUACCCUAUGGGGCUGACGGUACCUGAGGAAUAAGCACCGGCUAACUUCGUGCCAGCAGCCGCGGUAAUACGAAGGGUGCAAGCGUUAAUCGGAAUUACUGGGCGUAAAGGGUGCGUAGGCGGUUACUUAAGUCUGUCGUGAAAUCCCCGGGCUCAACCUGGGAAUGGCGAUGGAUACUGGGUGGCUAGAGUGUGUCAGAGGAUGGUGGAAUUCCCGGUGUAGCGGUGAAAUGCGUAGAGAUCGGGAGGAACAUCAGUGGCGAAGGCGGCCAUCUGGGACAACACUGACGCUGAAGCACGAAAGCGUGGGGAGCAAACAGGAUUAGAUACCCUGGUAGUCCACGCCCUAAACGAU
rnacentral:rRNA from 1 species